rnacentral:lncRNA from 1 species
GUUUAUUUGUAAUCAGCAGAGGGCUGUGGAGGGGGGAGGAAAGAUGGCAGGAGCAGCUGUCGGAGCGGCUCCUUGGGCGGAAAAUGAGAGCAAGCUGGAGGGCUGCGGACCUGCGCCCACGUCCUGGCUCUGCCCCCUCCGCUGGCUGUGUGCCCCUGGGCAUUGCCCCAGCUCAGGGGAAAGAGAAGGGGCGAUGGGACCCAUGGUCAGGGGGUGUGGGACCCGUGAGCUGCUGGCGGGACACAGAGAGAGCUCAGAACAUCACAGUGCAAAGAGCAGCACAGGGAACCCAGGAGCCUGUGAAGGGAAGGGGCUGGGACAGGACACUGCAAUCCCGGACACCUUCCAGGACCACCCCAGGGCCGGGGUGGUGGGUGGAGUCCCCACCACAGAGAAGGGAGACUGGACCAGGUCUGCUGUGUGAUGCCAGGAACUGGCUGCCCUCUCUGAGCCUCAGUCGUCCCAUCCGUUCAUUGGGGAUGACAGCAGUUGUCUCACCAGUCCCCUGGCCGGGAACCAGGUGAAAAACCUAAAUCUCUACUCAGAUGCAUUUCUAGACCCUCAGCACCUGCUCCCCACUUGUCAGAUGCAAAAAGCUCACAUCCAAAUGUCCGGGGCGGGCCCAGCCAACGUGUCAAGGUUGGAAGGACCCUCGGUUUGUCUCAGAGCCCCAGAACGGUGCUGGGCUGCCUCCUCGCACUACCCCGGGCCCCCAGCGACCCCACCACAGGAGGGG